GGGUAUUUGACUUCUUUAAGAAUAAUUUAUAGUAUUUAUUUCUUAGGCACUAUGGUGAUUACUUUGACACUCGGAUUAACUACACAUUUUUCAUAUUAUCUUCCUAACAUUGGAACUAUUUUAUCUCUAUUUUACAGAUAAUUCGCUGUAAGAACAGAGAGAUUAAGUAAUUUGUGCUGGACCACACAGGAAAUAAGCACCUGAGUUGAGAUUCAAAUAUGGCUUUACACCUUCAAAUUCCAUGUCUUACAUGACGUUUCCAAAGAAAAUCAAUGUGCUGGUUCAGAAGGAAACGGUUUGUGUUCAUGCAAAACCACAUAUCCACUACAGUCUGAUAGUUGUUUACCAGAGCAUCUCUUUGAAAGGAUAACAGUAAGAUUCACUAGCUCAGCGAAUUACAGACCUUGGACGACCACUUUCUACCUGCCUGGAGCUUGUCUGCCUGCUCAGAAGCAUUGUAGCAAGGUAGCAAGGUCCUACAUAAAAGGCUUUCCCUCACUCUCUCUACCAAGACUGCCGGAAAAUGGAGCUGAAACAGCUAAUGCUGCUAUUAAGAGGGUUACAGCAUCAAGAAGUGGGCAGAAGGGACUUCAAAAGACAGAGCAGCUGUGGUCCUAGAAGCAUUUGCUAGGAAACCCGGGCUCUAAGUCUCAUUUUCUCUGCUUUGAAGAGUUAUAAUUGGGAAGGAAAAAAAUCAAGCAUUUUUGACAAGAUCUCUACCAAAGAAAAUUAUGGGAAGCAAAGAUGAAAAGGAAUGUGUCUUGAUUGGUCUGUUAGUUAAAAUCCCCCAACAGUAGGUGCAUGGGUGUAAUCACUGAUCGUGAAAAGGCUCAUCAAGGAUGACUGUGGGGUGGUGAACUGAACUUGGAGACUGAGAGGGAGCAAGUGUAUGUCUUCCCCAAGGAUAAGAGACAGAGUACUUACUGGAGGGUGCACUCCGAACUUUUUAAAAAGUUCAAAAGCAACUGAAGAUAAAUUUAUUGUGAAACAAUCUAAAAUUGUCUCUGGUAGUAGGAGAUUAACACAGCAAUCGAUUUUAUGAAAUAAAUACUUUAACUUUG
rnacentral:lncRNA from 1 species